UUACUGCUAUCGGUGUUCGCCUAAGCCAUGCGAGUCAUAUGUUCUUCGUGAACAUGGCGUACUGCUCAGUAACACGUGGAUAACCUGCCCUUGGGACCGGGAUAACCCCGGGAAACUGGGGAUAAUACCGGAUAACGCAUAUCUGCUGGAAUGCUUUAUGCGUAAAAUGGAUUUGUCUGCCCAAGGAUGGGUCUGCGGCCUAUCAGGUAGUAGUGGGUGUAAUGUACCUACUAGCCUACGACGGGUACGGGUUGUGAGAGCAAGAGCCCGGAGAUGGAUUCUGAGACAUGAAUCCAGGCCCUACGGGGCGCAGCAGGCGCGAAAACUUUACAAUGCGGGAAACCGUGAUAAGGGGACACCGAGUGCCAGCAUCAUAUGUUGGCUGUCCAGAUGUGUAAAAUACAUCUGUUAGCAAGGGCCGGGCAAGACCGGUGCCAGCCGCCGCGGUAACACCGGCGGCCCGAGUGGUGAUCGUGAUUAUUGGGUCUAAAGGGUCCGUAGCCGGUUUGGUCAGU
rnacentral:rRNA from 1 species